CGGGAAGCGAGCGUACACAGGUGCUGCAUGGCUGUCGUCAGCUCGUGUCGUGACGAUGUGGGUUAAGUCCCGCAACGAGCGCAACCCCUGCAUUCAGUUGCCAUCAGGUCAAGCUGGGGACUCUAAUGAAACUGCCUACGCAAGUAGUGAGGAAGGUGGGGAUGACGUCAAAUCAGCACGGCCCUUACGUCCAGGGCUACACACGUGCUACAAUGGCCGGUACAGAGCGCAGCGAAGCCGCGAGGCAAAGCGAAUCGCAAAAAAGCCGGUCUCAGUACGGAUUGGAGUCUGAAACCCGACUCCAUGAAGUUGGAAUCGCUAGUAAUCGCGCAUCAGCAUGGCGCGGUGAAUACGGUUCCCGGGCCUU
rnacentral:rRNA from 1 species